GACGAACGCUGGCGGCGUGCCUAAUACAUGCAAGUAGAACGCUGAAGAGAGGAGCUUGCUCUUCUUGGAUGAGUUGCGAACGGGUGAGUAACGCGUAGGUAACCUGCCUUGUAGCGGGGGAUAACUAUUGGAAACGAUAGCUAAUACCGCAUAACAAUGGAUGACACAUGUCUUUUAUUUGAAAGGGGCAAUUGCUCCACUACAAGAUGGACCUGCGUUGUAUUAGCUAGUAGGUGAGGUAAUGGCUCACCUAGGCGACGAUACAUAGCCGACCUGAGAGGGUGAUCGGCCACACUGGGACUGGGACACGGCCCAGACUCCUACGGGAGGCAGCAGUAGGGGAUCUUCGGCAAUGGGGGCAACCCUGACCGAGCAACGCCGCGUGAGUGAAGAAGGGUUUCGGAUCGGAAAGCUCUGUUGUAAGUCAAGAACGGGUGUGAGAGUGGAAAGUUCACACCGUGACGGUAGCUUACCAGAAAGGGACGGCUAACUACGUG
rnacentral:rRNA from 1 species